GUAAAGAGAAAUGCUUUGUAAAGUUAUAGUUCCAAUUUGAUCUGAAUUUUAAGUUUGAUAAAUUCUUGUUUUCUAAAUUUUGCAAAUUAAAGACCAGUCGCUUGAAUUAAUUUUUGUAUUCAUUUAUUUAUUUGUAUUGUAUGCCUAAUCCGACUAAUGUGGUGUGUGGUUACUUAUCCAAGUACCGAGACUGAUUUGCCGGGCGGGGCUGAGACCGAGUGAACGUUAAACGUAGCUAGUUUUGAUUUUAGUCCCUUUUGUUUUUACAUAUAGUAUUUUCAGAUUAUCUAUGAUCGUUUGUUAUCUAUUUUGUUUCGUUAUUUCUUCGUACCCACUUUUGUCACUUAUAGUAUUUUGUAGACCGAAUCUCUCUUGUGAUUCGUAAUAAGCUUUAGUUUUAUAGAUGUUAGAAUUUCGUUUGAUUUUAGUUGAAAUUCAAUUUCUUUAGUCUCAUCUUGUGAUUCUUUGGAUUUAGUGAAAAAAUUGGUAAUCUUCUUUUUGCUAGUUUUCGUCUGAUUCUGUAGCCUUGCAUAUUUGGUAGUUUAGCAAGUAUGCGGCAUCUGUUACGCCUCCGGUUUGGGGCGUGACAGUAUUCAUCGGAGAGGAAUUUUGCACGAAUGAAAUCAUAUGUUCGGAAUAGAUCUCAUCCUGAAGAGUCAAUAGCUGAAGGUUAUAUAGUUGAAGAAUGUUUAACCUUCUGUUCAAGAUAUUUAGAUUCAGUUGAAACAAAAUUUAAUCGACCCGUACGGAAUCCUUAUCCACCUUAUCCACCUAAAAAUGGAACGGAAGGAUUAUAUUUAUUUUCUAUUGCUGGUGUCCCAAUUGGAAAGAUUGAAAAUAUUGUAUUAGAUGAAAAAGCAUGGGUCCAAGCACAUCGCUAUGUACUUCAUCAUUACGAUAACCUUGAGUCUUUUCGCCAGUAAGUCAUGUUUAUCUUGUUACAUUAUUAAUAUUUAAAACUUA